UGUUGGGAAUGGGUAGAUAAGUGAAGACUUUGAGUUUUGGUCUUCAUUUUCACUUGUCUUCUUCCAAAAACGACCAGACCUAUUCACUUAAGCUUCUCUUCUUAUUUCUUCACUUUCAUAUUCACAUAAGAGAAUAUCAAACCCUAAGAACUCAUAGAAGUAUAGCUAGAACAAGUUCUUCACCUUUUCUAGCUGAAAAUCCUACGUUUUGAAGUUUGAAUUCAUCUAUAAUCAAGGACUCUAGCACAACCUAUAUGAGACUGAUCUUUUCACUUCAUAGACCAUAUUGGACUUGAGGUAAUGAUGUACAUAUUUAGAAGUUGACCUAGCCAAAAGCGGCCAGUCAGAGAUUUGUUCAUAUGCCAUGCUUCGAGCCAUUUUUGUAGCCGAGCUAGAAACUCUGAUUUAAUUUUGUUAGCCGCUCUAUUAUGGUUUUUGUACAAUGUAAUUUUGUAAACAUUAAAUAUUUAUAUACGUAUAUGUACAGAUUUUGA